GUAAGUGCUCUCCUUCCUCCAGCAAACAUCUGCUCUUUUUGCUGCCUGAGGUGCUGCGCAGGCAACGUGCUGGGUUGGCCAAAGUUUUCCAGUCCCAAGACUUCUUCACCCUACAUGCUAGAGGGCUAAUGAUAAGGUACAGUUCUUGAAGAGCAACCUUUAGUCUUUGUCUCUCCACAAAGCCUGAUUUCAUACUCUACUACUGGCAAGAGGGAAUUCACCUACUUCCCAACAUUUUAAUGGUUUGUCAGUUAAAACUGAUAUAAACAAGCGUGAAUGUUAGUCUACAGGUGAUGAGCCAUGUGAAGGAAAAGAAAAUUACAUUUAUAAAGUAAAAAUUUAUAAACCAUUCAGCACAGUGAAAAAUGUAGUAAAACCUUAUCCUGCUUCCACAGAGCUCCACAGCAAAGUUCAGAAGUCUGUUGAAUCUGGGAAAUGCAUAAAGUGUCAAACGGCUCAUAUUAGUGUGUAACAACGCACUAUGCUAUAAGCACAGGAAGGCCUGGUCUCCUUUUCAAAGAGUUAGUACAAUUGUUAUAUAAUCAAUCAGGAAGUUAAAAAUGAUAUAGCCAUAAAAAUACUUGGAGAGGACUCAUAUAAAGUAUUCUACCGCCUUUGUUUCAUUUGCUUCAGAAAUGAGUACACGCAAAAUUCACCUCCACCCUCCAUUAAAUAUCUGCUUGGUUUCCAGUCUUUGGAGUUAAUGAACAACAGUAUUGCAUUUUUUAUGUGCC
ensembl:lncRNA